CCCUGUCAGGCUCAUUGGGCUUUGUUCUUCUCUAGGUUCAACUUUUUCAUUUCUUACCAUUGCAGUUUAAAACUAAGUGAAUCCUGUCCCGCUGUUAGGAAUUUAAUGUGUUAGUUGAACCCUGUAUUGUGCAGCAAUAAGAACACCGUGAUGAAUUCAAUUAAACUCUUUAUUUUCAGGUCUCACAGAAGGACAAUCCCUGCACAUCCCAAGAAGGAAAACCCGCAGUAGUUCUGGAAAUAAGCAGGAGCUUCUAGGAGAGUAUACUGUGUUAGGAAAGUCCUUAGAAAGUUAAACAGUCUUUGAAAAAAUAGUUUUCUUCCCACAGGAAAUCAGAGGAGCAGAUAUGACCUUGAAUAAGUCCUCUUUUAGGAAAGGAAACUUGACUGUACAUAGAGUGAGAGCAAAUUAAUACUCAAGGUAAAGAGGGAUUGCCAUGCGGACCGUUGCUAUGGAUGUUGCCGGGGAAGAAUUGUUGGUGAAGAGGAAACUGUUAGCAAUGGCCUGGAGACUGAAGCUGGACGUUGGUUACUGAAAUGAGGAGGAGGAAGCUGUGGUUGCUAGGGUAGAUUUGUCUAGCAACGGAUCGAGCAAAAGUUUGAAGAUGCCGGUUCAAGUGAGGUGCUGGAGCAGGCCAGGAAACUGAUGA